CCUCUUCUAAGUAUAUUUAAAUUCAUUGAAGUCAUAGCUAAAUUGUGGGACGAGAAAUACGAAAAUUAUACCGUAAAUUGUAUUUGAUGUUGUUGUUGACUCAUGGGCUGUUUGUUGGACUGUUUUGUGGGUUAUGUAAACGUUGUUAUGGACGGAAAUUAUGUUAUACGACACGAUUACGAUAAUGAGUAUAUGAAGUGUGUUAAAAAUAGUCCAUAUUUAAGUGAAUUGAGAUCAAGAAAUUAAUUAUGUGUAUAAUUGGUUAAAUUGGGAUUUGUAGUGGAAAAUAAGAAUUAAAUUAAGAUAAAUAAAUAAGUUUGGUGGACCAAACAACGUGGGUGACAUGUGCACCAAGGGGAAGCAUAUAAUCUUGUAAAUAUAAUUGUGAUGACAAAGCUUAAGAUGGGCUUAUAGUAUUACACGUGUGAAUAUAAAAGCCACCCUAAGAAACCUUUGAUUAUUUUUCUUGAAUUGUUGCUCUCAAGGAUAAGGCAGCAACGUCUUUGUUGGAAAGAAUCACAUACUUCAAUAUCUCUUAUCAUAAAAAUUGAAUAUCCCACCCAAGUAAGGAAUAUCUUGUAAUGAAAAGGAAGGGCAAACAGCAAGCAGUACGUAUUGCAACAAAAUAACUCCAUUGUUGGAGAAAUGGAGAAAUUGACGUGACAAAAAUAAUAAGCAGCAAGCUCACGGCCAUGGCUGUCCCAAUCCAACUUUGGAUUUUUUUUUUUAUAGCAAAAAUUAAAUUCUCAAGGGUGUUCUUCGUGCAAGGAGGCAGCAAUACAAGAAUAUUGAAUUGAGGAAGGAGAAAUUGUGAAAUUGGAACAAAUAAGUGUAGAAAUUCCUCCGAGUUAGUUAAGGCUAAAAGAGCAACAAGGCGAACGGGUUUGCGAAUAGUUGCUAACAGGUACAGAUAGUCGGUUUGGUGACCCUUCAGCAUAAGACUUCUACUCAGCUGUCUUGGAGAGCUCCGUUGUUCGGGAGUUUAGACUUUUGGUACAGAUCUUAUGAUAUAUAUAUAUAUAUAUAUAUAUAUAUAUAUAUAUAUAUAUGUAUGUAUGUUUAUCCAGGGGUACGACGGGGCCCUGUCCCGUCAUAUUUCACUGUUAGUACUCUUAGAGGUCUAUAGACAGAUAUGUGGGUUGUGUAUAAGUUCUGUUCAACUGUGUCUAUCCGAUGUGCUAUGAUAUGAUGUCCGUCUGUAGUGGCAGCCUUGGCGACUUGCAUAUGACAUGAUGAUGAUGUGUAGUGGCAGCCUUGUCGGCUUGCGUAUCAUUUUAUGAUUUGAUCAGUUAUGACUCCUCAGGAGAAAGUUAUCUGAAUAUACAUAUAUGUUGACGUU